rnacentral:rRNA from 1 species
GUGGAAAGCGGCGGACGGGUGAGUAACGCGUAGGCAACCUGCCCUUUGCAGAGGGAUAGCCUCGGGAAACCGGGAUUAAAACCUCAUGACACCUCUUAAAGACAUCUUUGAGAGGUCAAAGAUUUAUCGGCAAAGGAUGGGCCUGCGUCUGAUUAGCUAGUUGGUGGGGUAACGGCCUACCAAGGCGACGAUCAGUAGCCGACCUGAGAGGGUGAUCGGCCACAUUGGAACUGAGACACGGUCCAAACUCC